GGUAGGGUGGCCGAGCGGUUUAAGGCGGCAGUCUUGAAAACUGCUGUACGGGAAACCGUACCGUGAGUUCGAAUCUCACCCCUACCG
rfam:Candidatus Ryanbacteria bacterium RIFCSPHIGHO2_02_FTLL_45_13b rifcsphigho2_02_scaffold_2111, whole genome shotgun sequence.